CCUAGGCAAACUAAGAUCAUUUAGGUCCAGUAUCGAGUAAUACCUUUUGGGCACGAAAUCCUUAUCCCUGUGUCCAGCAUCCGACCCUAUAGGGCCACCUUCCGAAGGAGAAUCGAGAGACUCUCUUACCACCUCUUUUCCUAAUCUGUUCAUCCCAAAAAUGACAAACAAUACUAAACCUCCAGAAGAAAAUAGGGGGAGA
rnacentral:lncRNA from 1 species